AGGUGAGACCAUACCAUCACUGAUGCAUGAGAUCUUAUCAGAACUCUGCACUUAAGCGAUCUUGAGCGAGAAUAGUACUAACAUGGUACAAUGAGUGACCUCCCGGAAAGUCCUCGUGUUGCAUUUG
rnacentral:rRNA from 1 species